GACGAACGCUGGCGGCGUGCCUAAUACAUGCAAGUAGAACGCUGAAGGAGGAGCUUGCUUCUCUGGAUGAGUUGCGAACGGGUGAGUAACGCGUAGGUAACCUGCCUGGUAGCGGGGGAUAACUAUUGGAAACGAUAGCUAAUACCGCAUAAGAGUAGAUGUUGCAUGACAUUUGCUUAAAAGGUGCAAUUGCAUCACUACCAGAUGGACCUGCGUUGUAUUAGCUAGUUGGUGGGGUAACGGCUCACCAAGGCGACGAUACAUAGCCGACCUGAGAGGGUGAUCGGCCACACUGGGACUGAGACACGGCCCAGACUCCUACGGGAGGCAGCAGUAGGGAAUCUUCGGCAAUGGACGGAAGUCUGACCGAGCAACGCCGCGUGAGUGAAGAAGGUUUUCGGAUCGUAAAGCUCUGUUGUAAGAGAAGAACGAGUGUGAGAGUGGAAAGUUCACACUGUGACGGUAUCUGACCAGAAAGGGACGGCUAACUACGUG
rnacentral:rRNA from 1 species